UGAGGAAUAUUGGUCAAUGGGCGAGAGCCUGAACCAGCCAAGUCGCGUGAGGGAUGACGGCCCUACGGGUUGUAAACCUCUUUUGCCGGGGAGCAAUGCUCCGCACGAGUGCGGAGCGGGAGAGUACCCGGAGAAAAGCAUCGGCUAACUCCGUCGCC
rnacentral:rRNA from 1 species